rnacentral:rRNA from 1 species
UACGAAGGGGGCUAGCGUUGUUCGGAAUUACUGGGCGUAAAGCGUGCGCAGGCGGCUUCUCAAGUCAGGGGUGAAAGCCCAGAGCUCAACUCUGGAAUUGCCUUUGAGACUGAGUGGCUUGAGUACGAGAGAGGUGAGUGGAAUUCCCAGUGUAGAGGUGAAAUUCGUAGAUAUUCGCAAGAACACCAGUGGCGAGGGCGGCUCACUGGCCCGGUACUGACGCUGAGGUGCGAAAGCGUGGGGAGCAAACAGG